GUAACCAGAGAGUCGCCUGUGAAUCCGGAGAGGGGUGACAUGACUCACUUCGUUGCGCAGAUCAUGUCAACGGCUGGACAGACUGGCCUUGCUGUGAGAGUUGUCAGGUGGCAGAUACACAGUGUGUGCGCUUAAGGAUGGGGAAAAGCAGAAAGAGCUGUGUAGCAGUGAAGCCUUGUAGCAUGGAAUUGGUUGGGCUCUGCAUAUGCACUUGAGGAAAGCUGCACAAGAACAGCCAGGUCAGGGUCUUCAGAACUUCUGCUUUCAUUGGCUGCACCAAGGAAAUCUUGAAUUAUACCCUGCUUGGAUACCAGUCACCCUGUGCCAUUGAAUUCAUUGGGAGUUUUACCCAUGAGCUGCAGGUGAUACUGUAUGCAGUGUGCUGUCUGCUAAGCAGCAUCAAAAAUCAUCAUGCUGAUUGUUCUGAAUGUCAUUGCUGAGAUACCAAAGUCUGUACUUCCUAGAACUUUGGUAUCAAAGAGAAUUCAAGGACACGCAGAUGGUGGUGUCUCUAAAGAAACUAUCCCAUCUACUCCGACCAUUCGUUUCUCCCCUCCUCUGCCCUGAGUCCCAAGAAGAUACCCUGAAUAUAUCACAACUCAAAACAAGCAAUGAUUUAAGUGUCAGUCUCCUCCGGUUAAUGAGAAGUGGAUACUCCAGAGUAAUGCUCUCAGCACUGUCUCCUUCAUUCACCACCACCCUAAAAGGUUGUAUUGCCACCUUCACAAUUCAUUUCCCAGCUAAGCUCAUAUGCAUGUCUUGGAUGUCAGCGUUUGGAAAGCAGUAG
rnacentral:lncRNA from 1 species